AGCUUUCGGUGAGAUGGUCCCCCAUCGCUGCAAAGCUGCUUCCAGAGAAGGUGGCCAAUUUGUAACCACACCUAAUUGUUCCCCACGCAUAGCCAACAUCUGAGCUCCUUCUGGCUUUGGCUGGUUUGGAUCUGGCUGUUGAACUUCUAACAAUUCCUCAAAGUCAUCUACAAAGAACUCUCGUAAUGGUGGUCGUUUGGGCCGUUUUAGUGUAUUGACCAGCUGCUGAAUCUUUGCUGACACUCUGCUGCUCACUGGUACUCCAUCACCGGUUUCCAUAAGUUCAGCAUUUCCAUACUUUGGUGCCACUCGUGCCGUUGAUCCUUGUGGCCUUUCUACUUGUAUUGAGUGUUCUGAAGUGUAAGUGGUAACAUCUGGAGGGGCAGAAUGAUUUUCUAUAUGUGUUUGAGCCAUAACAUCAGCUAGUCUGUGUGCAGCUCCACUGCCUCCACUUUGUGUUGAGGAGGAGGAAGUGGUUGACGUGGUAGAGCCAUGGAUUGCUUGACUGAUCCAAUGUUCCAUGUUGAUACUCCCCUGACUCGAGGUAGGAGUUCCC
rnacentral:lncRNA from 1 species